rnacentral:lncRNA from 1 species
CCUCAGCAAAUUCUUCAAAAAAUUCAUCAGCCAAUUUUCCUCAAAAAAUUCCUCAAUUGAAAAAAUUUUUGACAAAUAAUCCCUAAAAAAUUUUCUUCAAAAAUUGAUUUAUGAGGGAAAAAUUAGUUAGAAAAUGCCUCGAUAAAACUUCCCUCGAAAACUUUCCCUCAGCAAAUUCUUCAAAAAAUUCAUCAGCCAAUUUUCCUCAAAAAAUUCCUCAAUAAACUUCCCUCGAAAAAUCCCUCAAAACUUUUUGCUUGGAAAAUUCCUUAGUAAAACUCUUCUCGAAAAC